UCAUGGAGGAAACACAACUGGGAGACACUACUGCAGGGAUGUGGAGACAUCUCCUCCCUGUACUGCUCAUCUGGGUCCCAGGUGUGGGUUCAGCGUACGUGGAGCAGCUGCCCUUCCAAACUGGGAGCCAAGGACACUCCCUAGUUCUGCAGUGUACACUCAAACAGUCCAACUGUGACCGGAUGUUCUGGUACCGGCAGCGGGGAAGCAGGGAGCUGGAGGGGCUCUUCUACUCUUAUGGAGACCAAUUGGUGAACUUCACAGCCGAGCUCUUGACCGCCCAGAGGAGCAACAAAAACUGGGAACUGAAAUGGACCAAACUUUCACAGUCAGACUCAGCUGUGUAUUACUGCGCCUGCAGCACUGCACAGUGA